rnacentral:tRNA from 1 species
AUUUAUAUAAUAUAUUAGUAUAUUUAACUUCCAAUUAAAAUGAUUAAUUAUAAAAUAAUUAAUAUAAAUA